GGUCCUAUCGUCUAAUGGUUAGGACAUCGCCCUUUCACGGCGGCAAUACGGGUUCGACUCCCGUUAGGACCA
rnacentral:tRNA from 1 species